rnacentral:rRNA from 1 species
CCUACGGGAGGCAGCAGUGAGGAAUAUUGGUCAAUGGACGCAAGUCUGAACCAGCCAUGCCGCGUGCAGGAUGACGGCUCUAUGAGUUGUACACUGCUUUUGUACGAGGGUAAACGCAGAUACGCGUAUCUGUCUGAAAGUAUCGUACGAAUAAGGAUCGGCUAACUCCGUGCCAGCAGCCGCGGUAAUACGGAGGAUUCAAGCGUUAUCCGGAUUUAUUGGGUUUAAAGGGUGCGUAGGCCGUUGGAUAAGUUAGAGGUGAAAUCCCGGGGCUCAACUUCGGAAUUGCCUCUGAUACUGUUCGGCUAGAGAGUAGUUGCGGUAGGCGGAAUGUAUGGUGUAGCGGUGAAAUGCUUAGAGAUCAUACAGAACACCGAUUGCGAAGGCAGCUUACCAAGCUACUUCUGACGUUGAGGCACGAAAGCGUGGGGAGCAAACAGGAUUAGAUACCCUUGUAGUC